AUUUUUGAUGUUUAUUUCCAGGAAGAGGAGAUGCCAGAGGUGGAGAUAGACAUCGAUGACCUGUUGGAGGUCAACAGCGAAGAUGAGAGAGCCGUCAAACUACAGGAAUCCUUAAUGGACUGCUAUAAACCCACGGAGGUCUUUGUCAGUGAGUUGUUGGGGAGGAUAAGAGGAAUGAGGAAACUCACUGCUCCCACCAAGAAGGGUCUAUAAUGGAUGUCAACCAACCGCAAUUCAACCGCAACUCAACCGCAACUCAACCAUAACCAGAUUUGGACAAGUAUAGACAAUUCAAAACUCAUCUCAACCGCAUCGAAUCUCUCCUGCAACUCAACUACACGGACCGUCCAAUAGCUCAGUGACACCCCAUUAUUAUCCCUUAAAGGAAAGCUCCACCCCGCAAAAAAUAUGUUGGUGUUUGUUUCAUUAGUCCAUUGUUGAUACAGUCCAAAAACAACUACACAGCUGAUUUAAAUAACUAACUCAUCAUCAAGCUUUGAUGAUUUAAAAUCAGCUGUGUAAUUCUAAAAACCUAAAGGUGCAGCCUGGGUCCCAGGCCCGAGUUUGAGAAGCCCCCUCCUCCAUAGACAUGACUGAAUAUGAUAAUACUCAGUAUUACACAACUGAACAGCCAUAAUACAACAUCACAACCCAAUCACAACACAUAACCCCUACAUAACCCCUACAUAACCACUACAUAACCACUAUAUAACCCCUACAUAACUACAUAACACAAUGCAACCCAAUCACAACACAUAACCACUACAUAACCACUACAUAACACAAUGCAACCCAAUCACAACACAUAACCACUACAUAACCCCUACAUAACCCCUACAUAACCCCUACAUAACCACUACAUAACCACUAUAUAACCCCUACAUAACUACAUAACACAAUGCAACCCAAUCACAACACAUAACCACUACAUAACCACUACAUAACACAAUGCAACCCAAUCACAACACAUAACCACUACAUAACCCCUACAUAACCCCUACAUAACCCCUACAUAACCACUACAUAACACAAUGCAACCCAAUCACAACACAUAACCACUACAUAACCCCUACAUAACACAAUGCAACCCAAUCACAACACAUAACCACUAC